CGGCUCGUGUCGUGAGAUGUUGGGUUAAGUCCGUAACGAGCGCAACCCUUGUCCUUAGUUACCAGCACGUUAUGGUGGGCACUCUAAGGAGACUGCCGGUGACAAACCGGAGGAAGGUGGGGAUGACGUCAAGUCAUCAUGGCCCUUACGGCCUGGGCUACACACGUGCUACAAUGGUCCGUACAAAGGGUUGCCAAGCCGCGAGGUGGAGCUAAUCCCAUAAAACCGAUCGUAGUCCGGAUCGCAGUCUGCAACUCGACUGCGUGAAGUCGGAAUCGCUAGUAAUCGUGAAUCAGAAUGUCACGGUGAAUACGUUCCCGGGCCUU
rnacentral:rRNA from 1 species